UUGUUUGAGAGCCGAAAGCGUCUGAGAAUACGGGUCCUGCGGAUGUCGUAAUGCGCAUCGGUCGACCUUACUUACUUAGAUCUUGGUAAUGCCCUCCUCCCUCACUCACUGCUUCGCCCACACCCUCACCACCCACGUAAGGUUACCCACAUACCCCUCCCCACACCUUCCAUCAUCCAUACUAUCAUCCUCCUACCUGUAUCGUCAAGUCGUAAUCCCGCCUCUCCUUAACUUCUUUUUUAUCCCACACCAUUGUUCCUGAAGUCCUCACACCCCUUGCGUCAUCACCCAGGCCCCAACCAUAUGUAUAGUCACCGUCAGUCAUAAGGCACACUUCUAACCCCUUUCUAAGCUCUCCCUGGAACUAGAUGAUCUCCCGUUCUCGCUCGUCUUGCCAAAUACUUUAUCCUAUAGCGCUCCCUCCUCCCCAUCCUCGUCCUCCUCCUUCUCCGCCAUCACAGUAAGUCAAUCCUAAGGCAUUCCUCUAAUCCCCUUCUAAGCACUCCCUUGAACUAGAUAAGCCCCCGUCCCCGCUCGUGUAGCCUAAUACUUUACCCUUCAACAGUCCCUCGUUCACCUCCUCGUCCUCCUUCUUCUCCGUCAUCUCAUUAAGUUUACAUUCUUCCCCCGUCCGCCUCUUAGCCUUUUCCUCUAAGCAGUUCCCUCACGUUCCCUGCUACUCCCUAAUAAUCCCAGUGUAAGCCGUUUUUGGGGUAGAAAUAGUGCCCCAUCUGCCUUCCCAGCCCUUCUAAAGCCUCGAUCCCCAAACCACGCGAGUCCCUCCUAAAGACGCUCCAUUUUCUGUUACGGUAACCCUCUCCCCCUGCCUCCCCUGCUCCUCCCCUCCCCUCGAACCAGCCCAGACGUUCUAUCAGACCAUAAUAAAACACACACACACACACACACACACACACACACACAUGGAGGAAGAGGAACGUCUGGACUGGGUCAGGAGUACAGGAAGAGGGGCAUUGCAGGGAGAGGCAUGGCAAGGCUCAUGUGCCAGGGCGGUGCAGGUGGCCCCGACAGGUGUCACGUAGCCAGGUGUUGGGAGGGUGUGUCGGGCCGCGGGCAGCCUCAUGAGGGUAGACACUACAUGCACCCCACGCAGACAUAUAUGCUGAAGCCACGACCUACCCUGCCAGCCAGUGUAGCAGUACCUGAUUGGUGAGACCGUUUUGGUGCUGGUUCCCGCGGGUCCUUUCCUUCCCUCCUAUCCGCCACACCGUCCCAACACCUGUCUCGUCCUCUCAUAUGUCACCCACAGCUAACACAUGAGAGGUAGAGACAGGUGUUGGGACGGUGCAGCAGAGUGGCGGGGAGGACCCUCGGAGGCCAACGUCAAAACG